rnacentral:rRNA from 1 species
CUACGCACUCCUACGGGAGGCAGCAGUGGGGAAUAUUGCACAAUGGGCGCAAGCCUGAUGCAGCCAUGCCGCGUGUAUGAAGAAGGCCUUCGGGUUGUAAAGUACUUUCAGCAGUGAGGAAGGUGGAUAUGUUAAUAGCAUAUUCAUUUGACGUUAGCUGCAGAAGAAGCACCGGCUAACUCCGUGCCAGCAGCCGCGGUAAUACGGAGGGUGCGAGCGUUAAUCGGAAUUACUGGGCGUAAAGCGCAUGCAGGUGGUUUGUUAAGUCAGAUGUGAAAGCCCCGGGGCUCAACCUCGGAAUUGCAUUUGAAACUGGCAAACUAGAGUACUGUAGAGGGGGUAGAAUUUCAGGUGUAGCGGUGAAAUGCGUAGAGAUCUGAAGGAAUACCGGUGGCGAAGGCGGCCCCCUGGACAGAUACUGACACUCAGAUGCGAAAGCGUGGGGAGCAAACAGGAUUAGAUACCCUGGUAG